GAUAAGAUGGCUGAGUGUUAAGGUGUUAGACUGUAGUCCUGUCCACAGAGGUUUGAUUCCUCUUCUUAUCA
rnacentral:tRNA from 1 species